rnacentral:rRNA from 1 species
GAUGAACGCUGACAGAAUGCUUAACACAUGCAAGUCUACUUGAAUUUGGGUUUUUUAACUUAGAUUUGGGUGGCGAACGGGUGAGUAACGCGUAAAGAACUUGCCUCACAGCUAGGGACAACAUUUGGAAACGUAUGCUAAUACCUGAUAUUAUGAUUAUAAGGCAUCUUAGAAUUAUGAAAGCUAUAUGCGCUGUGAGAGAGCUUUGCGUCCCAUUAGCUAGUUGGAGAGGUAACGGCUCACCAAGGCGAUGAUGGGUAGCCGGCCUGAGAGGGUGAACGGCCACAAGGGGACUGAGACACGGCCCUUACUCCUACGGGAGGCAGCAGUGGGGAAUAUUGGACAAUGGACCAAGAGUCUGAUCCAGCAAUUCUGUGUGCACGAUGACGUUUUUCGGAAUGUAAAGUGCUUUCAGUUGGGAAGAAAAAAAUGACGGUACCAACAGAAGAAGUGACGGCUAAAUACGUG